GAUGAACGCUGGCGGCGUGCUUAACACAUGCAAGUCGAACGAUGAACCUCACUUGUGGGGGGAUUAGUGGCGAACGGGUGAGUAACACGUGAGUAACCUGCCCUUAACUCUGGGAUAAGCCUGGGAAACUGGGUCUAAUACCGGAUAUGACUCCUCAUCGCAUGGUGGGGGGUGGAAAGCUUUUUGUGGUUUUGGAUGGACUCGCGGCCUAUCAGCUUGUUGGUGAGGUAAUGGCUUACCAAGGCGACGACGGGUAGCCGGCCUGAGAGGGUGACCGGCCACACUGGGACUGAGACACGGCCCAGACUCCUACGGGAGGCAGCAGUGGGGAAUAUUGCACAAUGGGCGCAAGCCUGAUGCAGCGACGCCGCGUGAGGGAUGACGGCCUUCGGGUUGUAAACCUCUUUCAGUAGGGAAGAAGCGAAAGUGACGGUACCUGCAGAAGAAGCGCCGGCUAACUACGUGCCAGCAGCCGCGGUAAUACGUAGGGCGCAAGCGUUAUCCGGAAUUAUUGGGCGUAAAGAGCUCGUAGGCGGUUUGUCGCGUCUGCCGUGAAAGUCCGGGGCUCAACUCCGGAUCUGCGGUGGGUACGGGCAGACUAGAGUGA
rnacentral:rRNA from 1 species